GGUCCGUUCGUCUAUCGGUUAGGAUUCUUGGUUUUCACUCAAGCGGGAGGGGUUCAACUCCCCUACGGACUACCA
rnacentral:tRNA from 1 species